GAGUUUGAUCCUGGCUCAGGACGAACGCUGGCGGCGCGCCUAACACAUGCAAGUCGAACGGAGCUGAGAGAAGCUUGCUUUUCUUAGCUUAGUGGCGAACGGGUGAGUAACGCGUGAGUAACCUGCCCUGGAGUGGGGGACAACAGUUGGAAACGACUGCUAAUACCGCAUAAGCGCACAGAACCGCAUGGUUCGGUGUGAAAAACUCCGGUGGUAUAAGAUGGACCCGCGUUGGAUUAGCUAGUUGGCAGGGCAGCGGCCUACCAAGGCGACGAUCCAUAGCCGGCCUGAGAGGGUGAACGGCCACAUUGGGACUGAGACACGGCCCAGACUCCUACGGGAGGCAGCAGUGGGGAAUAUUGCACAAUGGGGGAAACCCUGAUGCAGCGACGCCGCGUGAAGGAAGAAGUAUCUCGGUAUGUAAACUUCUAUCAGCAGGGAAGAUAAUGACGGUACCUGACUAAGAAGCCCCGGCUAACUACGUGCCAGCAGCCGCGGUAAUAC
rnacentral:rRNA from 1 species